rnacentral:rRNA from 1 species
GAUAACCUGCCUCAAGGCUGGGGAUAACAUUUGGAAACAGAUGCUAAUACCGAAUAAAACUUAGUAUCGCAUGAUAUCAAGUUAAAAGGCGCUACGGCGUCACCUAGAGAUGGAUCCGCGGUGCAUUAGUUAGUUGGUGGGGUAAAGGCUUACCAAGACGAUGAUGCAUAGCCGAGUUGAGAGACUGAUCGGCCACAUUGGGACUGAGACACGGCCCAAACUCCUACGGGAGGCUGCAGUAGGGAAUCUUCCACAAUGGGCGCAAGCCUGAUGGAGCAACGCCGCGUGUGUGAUGAAGGCUUUCGGGUCGUAAAGCACUGUUGUAUGGGAAGAAAUGCUAAAAUAGGGAAUGAUUUUAGUUUGACGGUACCAUACCAGAAAGGGACGGCUAAAUACGUGCCAGCAGCCGCGGUAAUACGUAUGUCCCGAGCGUUAUCCGGAUUUAUUGGGCGUAAAGCGAGCGCAGACGGUUGAUUAAGUCUGAUGUGAAAGCCCGGAGCUCAACUCCGGAAUGGCAUUGGAAACUGGUUAACUUGAGUGUUGUAGAGGUAAGUGGAACUCCAUGUGUAGCGGUGGAAUGCGUAGAUAUAUGGAAGAACACCAGUGGCGAAGGCGGCUUACUGGACAACAACUGACGUUGAGGCUCGAAAGUGUGGGUAGCAAACAGGAUUAGAUACCCUGGUAGUCCACACCGUAAACGAUGAAUACUAGGUGUUAGGAGGUUUCCGCCUCUUAGUGCCGAAGCUAACGCAUUAAGUAUUCCGCCUGGGGAGUACGACCGCAAGGUUGAAACUCAAAGGAAUUGACGGGGACCCGCACAAGCGGUGGAGCAUGUGGUUUAAUUCGAAGCAACGCGAAGAACCUUACCAGGUCUUGACAUCCUUUGAAGCUUUUAGAGAUAGAAGUGUUCUCUUCGGAGACAAAGUGACAGGUGGUGCAUGGUCGUCGUCAGCUCGUGUCGUGAGAUGUUGGGUUAAGUCCCGCAACGAGCGCAACCCUUAUUGUUAGUUGCCAGCAUUCAGUUGGGCACUCUAGCGAGACUGCCGGUGACAAACCGGAGGAAGGCGGGGACGACGUCAGAUCAUCAUGCCCCUUAUGACCUGGGCUACACACGUGCUACAAUGGCGUAUACAACGAGUUGCCAACCUGCGAAGGUGAGCUAAUCUCUUAAAGUACGUCUCAGUUCGGACUGCAGUCUGCAACUCGACUGCACGAAGUCGGAAUCGCUAGUAAUCGCGGAUCAGCACGCCGCGGUGAAUACGUUCCCGGGUCUUGUACACACCGCCCGUCACACCAUGGGAGUUUGUAAUGCCC